CUAUUUUGGGUUCACAGUCAGCCGAGCUCUCCUCACAGCAGUGCCGCAGACCUCCAUCUCGUGUGCCCUAGGUUUGGAUUGUGCCGCCGCUGAGUUUGCUUCGCCGACGCUGUGCCCUAACAUUUUCGCCGGCCACAGUGAAGUAAUCAGCAAGGAGUUUGGGUUUGUGGAUGAUUUUGGGUUCCGGCAGCUAUCCCAUUUAGCAGCCUACUUAAUUGUCAACAGCAACACACUGCGACCGGGAAUCAAGAAACUACAGGCUGUGAAUUGAGGUUGAUGCUGUCAGGAGGGAGUUCCAGUCGCUAGUCCCCA